CUUCUCAGGACGAACGCUGGCGGCGUGCCUAAUACAUGCAAGUCGAACGCUUCUUUUUCCACCGGAGCUUGCUCCACCGGAAAAAGAGGAGUGGCGAACGGGUGAGUAACACGUGGGUAACCUGCCCAUCAGAAGGGGAUAACACUUGGAAACAGGUGCUAAUACCGUAUAACAAUCGAAACCGCAUGGUUUUGAUUUGAAAGGCGCUUUCGGGUGUCGCUGAUGGAUGGACCCGCGGUGCAUUAGCUAGUUGGUGAGGUAACGGCUCACCAAGGCCACGAUGCAUAGCCGACCUGAGAGGGUGAUCGGCCACAUUGGGACUGAGACACGGCCCAAACUCCUACGGGAGGCAGCAGUAGGGAAUCUUCGGCAAUGGACGAAAGUCUGACCGAGCAACGCCGCGUGAGUGAAGAAGGUUUUCGGAUCGUAAAACUCUGUUGUUAGAGAAGAACAAGGAUGAGAGUAACUGUUCAUCCCUUGACGGUAUCUAACCAGAAAGCCACGGCUA
rnacentral:rRNA from 1 species